CUGUAGGUGACCAUGAUGCAGCCAGACUGAAGCAGCACGUUGUGAAGGUGGACACCAUCAUCUUGUCUUUGCAGUGCUGAUUCUGAAGAGAACACCUUCACAUAGGACUCAAAGGAAAUCAGUGCUCAAAGGAAACAACAGUCCAGACUCUGAUUCCAGCUCCGAAGAUGCCCUCAGAUUCAGAUCCAUCAACAACCCCUGACAACAUGGAGGACUCGUCCCCUGAGCGUUUCCUGUCCUCUCUCCAUGGAGUUCUUCUCUUCAGUUAUUAACUCUUGAAAUCAGCAGCACAACAUGCCAGACUGUUUGACAAGUCUGUGAUUGAAUAAAUGGAAAUGGAAUCUCAU